GAACUCACGGCUGGAAGGCAUCAGGAGAGACUCAUGUUGAAACCAAGUGUCUUGUUAAAAUUAGACUAGAGAAUCUACUGUCAUGUUGUCUUCAAAUGCGAAGGGAGGGGAAAUGCACUCCCAAUUUUAGAAGUGAAUCAGAGGAGAAGGUACGAUGAGUCUGCGAAGGCAGAGAGGAUAGGGGACGGAUGCCAGAAGGAGACAUAAGUUUCCCACAGGAGAAAGAAAAAUGCUUCAGGAAAUCAGGAUCAUACCAGUGGUAGUGAUCGAGAAAGCGGAAUGUCAGGAAACAGGAAAAAAAAAAACGGCGAGAACAAACGUGAUGUAUCCCAAAAUCUGAGGGAGAGGGGAAGAAAUACUACGGAGACGCUGAGAACCUGGAAAGCACUUGGCGGGAAGCCUGUCUGUGCCGGCAGAAACCUGACACUGUGCUACCAUAUGGUUAAAGCUAAAUUCAGGUUAUGGAUGCCACCCAGCAAGCUGGUAUUUUUGCUUCAAAGACCUUUUGGCAGCAAAGGAAAUUUUACUAGCAAUAAAAAGGCCAGUCGUCUUUGCUUC